rnacentral:sRNA from 1 species
UGUCCACUGUGGUCUGAACUUAAAUGAU